GAAACGACUGCUAAUACCGCAUAAGCCCACGGAUCCGCAUGGAUCUGCGGGAAAAGGAUUUAUUCGCUUCAGGAUGGACUCGCGUCCAAUUAGCUAGUUGGUGAGGUAACGGCCCACCAAGGCGACGAUUGGUAGCCGGACUGAGAGGUUGAACGGCCACAUUGGGACUGAGACACGGCCCAGACUCCUACGGGAGGCAGCAGUGGGGGAUAUUGCACAAUGGGGGAAACCCUGAUGCAGCGACGCCGCGUGGAGGAAGAAGGUUUUCGGAUUGUAAACUCCUGUCGUUAGGGACGAUAAUGACGGUACCUAACAAGAAAGCACCGGCUAACUACGUGCCAGCAGCCGCGGUAAAACGUAGGGUGCAAGCGUUGUCCGGAAUUACUGGGUGUAAAGGGAGCGCAGGCGGACCGGCAAGUUGGAAGUGAAAACUAUGGGCUCAACCCAUAAAUUGCUUUCAAAACUGCUGGCCUUGAGUAGUGCAGAGGUAGGUGGAAUUCCCGGUGUAGCGGUGGAAUGCGUAGAUAUCGGGAGGAACACCAGUGGCGAAGGCGACCUACUGGGCACCAACUGACGCUGAGGCUCGAAAGCAUGGGUAGCAAACAGGAUUAGAUACCCUGGUAGUCCAUGCCGUAAACGAUGAUUGCUAGGUGUUGGAGGAUUGACCCCUUCAGUGCC
rnacentral:rRNA from 1 species